CCUACGGGGAGCAGCAGUGGGGGAUAUUGCACAAUGGGGGGAACCCUGAUGCAGCGACGCCGCGUGGGUGAAGGAGGGUUUCGGCGCGUAAAGCCCUAUCGGCAGGGAAGAAGGAGGACGGUACCUGAAUAAGAAGCCCCGGCUAACUACGGGCCAGCAGCCGCGGUAAUACGUAGGGGGCAAGCGUUAUCCGGAUUUACUGGGUGUAAAGGGGGCGUAGGGGGGCUGUUAAGUCAGCGGUAAAAGCCCGGGGCUCAACCCCGGCGGGCCGUUGAGACUGGCUGUCUUGAGAUGUCGAGAGGUAUGCGGAAUGCGCAGUGUAGCGGUGAAAUGCUUAGAUAUUGCGCAGAACUCCGAUUGCGAAGGCAGCAUACCGGCGGCGAUCUGACGCUGAGGCACGAAAGCGUGGGUAUCGAACAGGAUUAGAUACCCCUGUAGUC
rnacentral:rRNA from 1 species